rnacentral:misc_RNA from 1 species
UUUCCGUAGGUGAACCUGCGGAAGGAUCAUUAAUGAGUUGUCAUGGGGUUCGAUGCUGGCAGCCAGUUUUUGGAUGCAUGUGCUUGCCCUAACAAUCAUCUUCUUCCAAACACCUGUGCACAUUUUUGAGGGAGUCUUGAGUUUGUUGCCGCUCUUGGGUGAUUUUCUCACAUUCCCUUAAAUCAUUAUACGCUAUUAACAAUGUUGAACGUGCUCUGUGCCGCAAGGCCAUUAAUAUAAUACAACUUUUAACAACGGAUCUCUUGGCUCUC